GACGAACGCUGGCGGCGUGCUUAACACAUGCAAGUCGAACGGAAAGGCCCUGCGCUUGUGGGGUUCUCGAGUGGCGAACGGGUGAGUAACACGUGAGUAACCUGCCCUUGACUUUGUGGUAACUUCAGGAAACUCGGGCUAAUACCGGAUAUGAGCUCCUGCUGCAUGGUGUUGGUUGGAAAGUUUCGGCGGUUGGGGAUGGACUCGCGGCUUAUCAGCUUGUUGGGGGGGUAGUGGCUUACCAAGCCUUUGACGGGUAGCCGGCCUGAGAGGGUGGCCGGCCACCAUGGGACUGAGAGACGGCCCAGUAUCGUACCUGACGCAGCAGUGGGGAAUAUUACAGAAUGGGGCGAAGCCUGAUGCAACGGUGCUGCGAGCGGGAUGACGGGCUUCGGGUUAUAAACCGCUGUCGACUGUGACGAAGCGUGAGUGACGGUAAUGGGUAAAGAAGCACCGGCUAACUACGUG
rnacentral:rRNA from 1 species